rnacentral:rRNA from 1 species
ACGGGAGGCAGCAGUGGGGAAUAUUGGGCAAUGGGCGAAAGCCUGACCCAGCAACGCCGCGUGAGGGAAGAAGGUUUUCGGAUUGUAAACCUCUGUUCUAGGUGACGAAAUGAAUGACGGUAGCCAAGGAGGAAGCCCCGGCUAACUACGUGCCAGCAGCCGCGAUAAUACGUAGGGGGCGAGCGUUGUCCGGAAUGACUGGGCGUAAAGGGCGCGUAGGCGGCUUUUUAAGUUAGGAGUGAAAGUCCUGCUUUCAAGGUGGGAAUUGCUUUUAAUACUGGAGAGCUUGAGUGCAGAAGAGGUAAGCGGAAUUCCCAGUGUAGCGGUGAAAUGCGUAGAGAUUGGGAAGAACACCAGUGGCGAAGGCGGCUUACUGGGCUGUAACUGACACUGAGGCGCGAAAGCGUGGGGAGCGAACAGGAUUAGAUACCCUGGUA